UUGAAACUUUAAAAUAUUUAUUAAUAUUCAAUUUAUUUACAUUUCAAUAGUAAACACUACUAUGACAAUGGGUACAUAUUCAUGACAAUGGGUACAAAUUUGAUUUUUUUGCACCCCUGUUGACCUUGGUCAACAGGGGUCACACCCUUGUGCACCCCCCUAUACAUCCACCCCUGACUACACCAUCCUCAACAGGGUCGUGCAGGCAAAAAAAAAAUGCUGUACCAUCAGUAUUCAAAUUGGAAUUAAAACUGCAAAGCAUACCAAAAGAGGCUAGAAGCCAACUGAAAAUGCCUGAAGGAAGUUCAACCCAUCAAGGCCAUAAACAUCCAAUUAUGUCACAUGAGCAUCUAUUGUCCAGGGUUGGUAGGUUUGCUGAAUAACUAGGCCAAACACCGUCACACUAGGCCUUUGUGUUCUAAUAGUGCACUAG